AGUGAACGCUGGCGGUAGGCCUAACACAUGCAAGUCGAACGGCAGCACAGUAAGAGCUUGCUCUUACGGGUGGCGAGUGGCGGACGGGUGAGGAAUACAUCGGAAUCUACUUUUUCGUGGGGGAUAACGUAGGGAAACUUACGCUAAUACCGCAUACGACCUACGGGUGAAAGCAGGGGAUCUUCGGACCUUGCGCGAUUGAAUGAGCCGAUGUCGGAUUAGCCAGUUGGCGGGGUAAAGGCCCACCAAGGCGACGAUCCGUAGCUGGUCUGAGAGGAUGAUCAGCCACACUGGAACUGAGACACGGUCCAGACUCCUACGGGAGGCAGCAGUGGGGAAUAUUGGACAAUGGGCGCAAGCCUGAUCCAGCCAUACCGCGUGGGUGAAGAAGGCCUUCGGGUUGUAAAGCCCUUUUGUUGGGAAAGAAAAGCAGCAGGUUAAUACCCCGCUGUUCUGACGGUACCCAAAGAAUAAGCACCGGCUAACCUCGU
rnacentral:rRNA from 1 species